CCUUGCCAGCCCGCUCAAGAACUUAAAUGAAUUGACGGGGCCCGCACAAGCGGUGGAGUAUGUGGUUUAAUUCGAUGCAACGCGAAGAACCUUACCUGGUCUUGACAUCCCGGAGACCCUUAGGAAACUAGGGGGUGCUUCCAUCUGGAAGAAUCUGGAGACAGGUGCUGCAUGGCUGUCGUCAGCUCGUGUCGUGAGAUGUUGGGUUAAGUCCCGCAACGAGCGCAACCCUUGCCUUUAGUUGCCAGCAGUUCGGCUGGGCACUCUAAAGGGACUGCCGGUGUUAAACCGGAGGAAGGUGGGGAUGACGUCAAGUCCUCAUGGCCUUUAUGACCAGGGCUACACACGUACUACAAUGGCCGAUACAAAGGGCAGCGACACUGCGAGGUGAAGCCAAUCCCGUAAAAUCGGUCUCAGUCCGGAUUGGAGUCUGCAACUCGACUCCAUGAAGUUGGAAUCGCUAGUAAUCGUGGAUCAGCAUGCCACGGUGAAUACGUUCCCGGGCCUU
rnacentral:rRNA from 1 species